GGCAGUUCUCGGGUGAUGCACCUUGGAAUUGGGCUCCCUCUCUGGUUCCAAGUUCAUCACCCAAGAACCGCA
rfam:Myotis davidii contig18412, whole genome shotgun sequence.